GGCGGGGUCAGCCGGGAUUGGAAGGGGAGACAGCAGCGUGGGCGGCUGGCGGACCAGCAGAGAGGAAAGAGAAACGGAGAGGGAGGAAGAAAGAAGGGGAAUCUGAGGGAGAGAAGGAAACAGCGGCGGUGGGGACGGGGAGAGAGAGAGAAAGAGGAAGAGCUUGAGUGUGAGGGAGAGAGAGGGGGAGAGAACGAGAUGGAGAUCUAAGGAAAAGAGACUCUGUGAGUCAGAGAAGAAAAGAUCUGGAACAGAAACAGAAAGACUGGAAGAGAAAGUGGUUGGGGGGGGGAGAGGGGGUGCGGGCAGGGGAGAGAAUGAGCCAGAGAGAGACUGGAAGAGACAGAUUAGAGACAAAUAGACAAGCUGGGGCCAGAGACAAGGUGUUAGGAGCCUAAAAAAAAGGCAAGAGGGACCAGAAGUGACACAAAGCAAGAAGUGUGCGAGUGAGCAGGUGAGAAGGCAGACAGGUCUGAGAGGCAGCACCCAAGAGCCAGAAAAGGAGGGAGACUGCAGCUGGGUGCCCCAGCGCCCGCACGGCCCUCUUACCCCCAUCCUUGGGACCCCAGAGCUGGUAAGUUCCCUGGCUGGCCUGGGAGGGACUGCCUGGGUGUGCAUUCCUGGCGUCCGGGCUUGGCAGGGAUGGCCUAGGGGUGCGUGUGGGAGGGCUGGAGACAGGUAGCUGGGGGCAGCCGCGAAGAGGCAGGGAAUGGGGCUCCCUAAGCACAGAGAGGGUCAAAUUCCUGGCGAGAGUGCAGGGGGCAAGAAUAAAGGAGCCCCUAUUCCCUGUCUUGGGCGGCAGACAGCUGCCCCCCUCCCCGCAGCUGCCAAUGCCGCCCACCUCUCUUGGCAUCGCUCUUGGUAUGCAGUCCCGGGCCAGGGCCUCCCCCAGCCCCCCAGUCCCCAGACAACAGGCUCUUUCUCCUCAGCCUCCUCCGACCUGCGAGCCCCUGACCCCGUCUCUGUCCCCAGCCGGGUCAGCUGCAGAGACACGCACACAGCCCCUUUCUUUCUCUCCCCAAGCCCUUGAUGGAGGAGGGCAGACCCCGGAGCAGCCUCAGCCUAGCCAGCAGCGUCUCCACCAUCUCCUCCCUGGGCAGCCUGAGCACCAAGGUUUGAGCUUCUUGGAAGGGCCGGGGAGGUAGGCGGGGCUCUGGGCUGCCCCAUCCUCUUUUUUCCCAGCCCUGGUUCCGUGCCAACUCAAGGGAUUCUGUUGUUAGGAGCCAGGAUCCUUAGCGAUGGGAUCUGCCACACCUAGUAAGGUCCCCAGUUGCCCACUAGCCCCAGCUAGGAAUUUAGAGACGCUCCCAGCUGUCUCCACCCCUCCUGUUUUCCCAAUUCAAAGCCAGAGUCACAAUCUAGCUUGACUUGGUUGUUAAGUUAAGGCUACUCCCCAGCCAUGAGGCUCUCCCCAGGAAUUCAGGCGGUGACUACCCUUGACUGGGACUGAAAACUCCCUGUCCCAGCUCCAGGCAUCCAAUCUACCCAGUUCUGAAACCCGAGAAGGAAAAGACCUUUCUCAAGAGGGCUGAGAUAGUUGCCUCCCAAGUCAUCGCCCCAGCCCCAAGUUCAGUGACACUCAUUUCCUUGUCCUCUGCCAUUCUCUUCACUCAUUUAGACUUUACCAAGCUCAGAAUCUAGAAAUUCAAUCCCAACUCAGUGUCAUCCCCAGGGCAGGGCAUCCUGGGGGACCCUGGCUAUGAAUGCUGGAGAUGCCUGGGUGGACAGGAGAAGGGGCUCCUCUCCUAUUGGGAGGGAGGGAUUUGGAACCGUCUGUCUCUGGUCAUGGUUGCUCAGGGAUGUCACUCCCUGGCACUGAAACAUCCUUCCAUUCAGCUGACCCAUCACCAGGGACUCUGCAUGGAGAUCUUUCUUGAUUAUGGGGACCUCCCAGGCAAGAUCUCCAAUUCAGAUCCCAAAGACUGCACUACAUCUCUGGCUCAGUUAGACCCUUGAUCCCCAAAUUCCUUCCUCGUCAGCCAGUAGUCUCUUCCUUUCCCCCAAACAGCUCCGUCCGCCCAUUAAAAGCGUCUGUUAGCUCUGUAAUGCGUACAUCCAAUUCUGAUCUCAGAAUUCAGUCCCCUCCUUGGGUGGUUUCUGAGGGCGGCUGAGGUUGGGUCUUGGGUUGCCUGACUCCCAAUGCACCGCCGCCCCCAAGCCCAUCCAAGGCCCCAUUCACAUCUGUCCUCCUUCUCUCCUCAGAAGCCUACCCGGGCUGUAAGCAAGGUGCACGCCUUCGGGAAGAGAGGCAAUGCACUCAGAAGGGACCCCAACCUCCCGGUGCACAUCCGAGGCUGGCUUCAUAAGCAGGUGGGGUGAGCGGGUGAAGGGAAAGGACACCGAGUGAUGCUAGAGGCUGUCCCCCUGGCUGUCCCCUGUUUCUCUUCUUCCAAGUCUCCAAAUGUGUUUUGUUUUUCUUUUAUUAAAAAAAUAGAUAUUUAUUUAGUUUUGAGAGAGAGAGAGCACAAGUGGGGGAGAGGCAGAGGGAGAGGGGGACAGAGGAUCCAAAGCGGGCUCUGUACUGACAGCUGCGAGCCCGAUGAGGGGCUCGAACUCAUGAACUGUGGAAUCAUGACCUGAGCUGAAGACUGAGCCACCCAGGCGCCCCACCCCUCGUUUUUUUUCUAACAAUCCUUCCCCCCCUUUUUCUGUCAUUGUUCUAUGCACCCGUUCAUUCAGCAACCGCUUCCUGAAUAUUUACAAGGUGCCAAGCCCAGAUAAGACAAACAAGUAUAGUAUAUUCAGGAUGGGGCAGAGCAGAGACGGAUAAUACAUUAGUUUGUUUCAGAUUGUAGGAAUUGCUUUGCAGAAGUAACACAGGAGGAUGUACUGAAAAGUGACAGAGGGGGGCGCCUGGGUGGCUCAGUCUGUUAAGCCUUCAGCUGAGGCUCAGGUCCUGCUCUCACAGUUCGUGAGUUGGAGCCCUGCAUCGGGCUCUCUGGUGUCCGUACAGAGCCUGCUGCGGAUCCUCUGUCCCCCCCUCUCUCUGCCCCUCCCCAGGUCUUGGUCCCUCUCUCUCUCUCUCUCUCUCUCUCAAAUAAAUAAAAACCAGGGCCCUGGGUGGCUCAGUCGGUUAAGCACUGACUUCAUCUUGGGUCAUGAUCUCGCGGUGUGUGAGUUCGAGCCCCACGUCCAGCUCUGUGCUGACAGCUCAGAGCCUGGAGCCUGCUUCAGAUUCUGUCUCCCUCUCUGCUCCUCCCCCACUUGUGCUCUGCCUCUCUCUCUCUCUCUCUCUCUCAAAAAAUAAACAUUUAAAAACUUAAAAAUAAAUAAAAGUGGCAGAGUACCAUUUGACUCUUGGUCAGGGAAGGCGUCUCUGAGAUGACAUUUGAGUUGAGGCCUAAGUGGCAUGAAUCACUUCAUCACAUCGUGACAUGAAUGAGGCCGAUCGUGUUGAGAUCUGGGGGCCGAGGGAAUCCGAAAGCCAAAGGCCCUGCAGCAGGCCAAAGAUUGGUGUUUGGAGCCAGCCAAGGGUUGAGACAGAAGGAGUGGCAGGGCAGUGGUUCUCAAAGUGGUCCCUGGCCAGUAUCCUCAGCAUCAUCAGGGAACUUGCUGGAAAUGGCACGGUCAGCUCCCACCCACCCUCGAUCUACUGACUCAGGAACUGUGGGGAUGGGACCCAGGAAGCUGUGAUGUAACAAGCCCUCCUGGUGAUUCUGAUGCAGGACCAAGUGUGAGAGAUUCCCUGCCAGCCUGUACAAGAGAGUAAGGAGGGGCGCUUAGGUGGUUCAGUCAGUUAAGCGACUCUUUUAUUUAAAUGUAUUUUUUAGGUAAUUUUAUUUAUUGAUUUACUUACUUAUUUAGAGAGGGAGAGUGUGUGAGCGGGGGAAGGGCAGAGAGAAAGGGAGAGAGAGAGAAUCCCAAGCAGGCUCCGCACUGUCAGCGCAGAGCCCGACGCAGGGCUCGAACUCACGAACCGUGAGAUCGUGACCUGAGCCGAAACCAGGAGCCAGACGCUUAACCGACUGAGCCACCCAGGCGCCCCAAGCAUCCGGCUCUUGAACUCAGCUCAAGUCUUGAUCUCAGGGUUGUGAGUUCAAGCACCAAGUCGGGCUGUGCACUGGGUGUGAAGCCUACAUUAAAAAGAGAGAGAGAGAGAGAGGGUAAAUAAUUUGAGAUUUAUUCUAGGUGUGACUGUAAGCUCUGUUUUGAGCGGGGGACUCCCCCAAUCUGGCUUCUAAUUUCAAAGGAUCAUGCUGGCUUCUGCGGGAAGAGAUUGAAGAGGAGAAGAGGGGCAGGAGGUUGGAGAGAGAGUAGUUCUGGCAGAGGAGAUGGGGAGAUACAGGAUUAGGGUUGUGGCUCAAGCCACCUUCCUGGCCUCUCUGUGCCUCAGACUCCAGCGUAAUCAGACCGAGUCGAGGUAUGUAAAGUGCCUGCCCACGUGUUGUAUAGUAUCUCGUUCCAGCCUUCCAGGAACUUCUCAAUACCCAGUUGACAGAUGAGAAGACACAAGUGGCCUAGCCAGGAAAUGACUUGUCUGAUGGCAUAGUUUGAGAGGGGUGGAGCUAGGAACCAAACGCAGGUCUGACUGUCCAGAAUCUAUGGUCGCUCGACCACGACGCUCUGGCUUCCAGCUCUCCAACUCAAUCCAUUGCAUCAAACGCGUUUCUGUUGCGCUCUCUCUAUGGGUCCCUGUCCCCAGGUGUCACUGUCUCCGUUCCCACAUUUCCUCUCCCUACUUCCCGUCUCCUCAGGCCUCCCCUCCUGCUCUGUUUCCCCAGGACAGCUCCGGGCUGCGCCUCUGGAAACGCCGCUGGUUCGUCCUCUCCGGCCAUUGCCUCUUCUAUUACAAGGGUCAGUGCCCUGGCCUGAGUGGGGUGGACGGGCCCCCCCACCCCCCCCACCCCCCACCGCCUCCCUUUCCUCUGGCCUCUUGGCCUCCAGAUUCCUGUGUGAUCCCUGAGCGCAGCCCCUCUUUUGCAGACAGCCGCGAGGAGAGCGUCCUGGGCAGUGUCCUGCUGCCAAGCUACAGUAUCAGGCCAGAUGGGCCAGGAGCCCCCCGAGGGCGGCGCUUCACCUUCACCGUGAGUCCGUCCCUGGGGUCACUAAGGCACUAGGCAAUGGGGGCAGUCAUUGGGGCAUCCAUUAUUGGAGAUAAAAAGUCUUGACCAGGGUCCGUGGCAUCCUCCUUUCUAGAGGUCGCGGGCGUCCACGUCCCCAACUGUGUUUCCCCGCAGGCUGAGCACCCAGGCAUGAGGACCUAUGUUCUGGCCGCUGACACGCUGGAGGACCUGCGGGGCUG
rnacentral:lncRNA from 1 species